rnacentral:rRNA from 1 species
AACGGGUGAGUAAAAUACCAGAACAUACUUAAAAGAAAACUAUAAAAUAGUGAAAACUAUUGUAACAGUUUAUAAAAUUGCUUUAUAAAAAGCAAUAAAAAAAAAACGUUGCUUUUAAAUUGGCUGGUAUCAGAUUAGUUAGUUGGUGAUAUAAAAGAUUACCAAGACUUCGAUCUGUAGCUGUUCUGGAAGGAAGUACAGCCACAUUGGGACUGAGACAAGGCCCAAACCUCUACGGAGGGCAGCAGUGAGGAAUAUUGGACAAUGAGCGGAAGCUUGAUCCAGCAAUACCACGUGUGUGAUGAAGGUUUAAAUAUCGUAAAACACUUUUAUUUGGGAAUAAUCUUUAUGAAUGUACCAAAAGAAUAAGUACUGGCUAAUUACGUGCCAGCAGCCGCGGUAAUACGUGAAGUGCAAGCGUUAAUCAAAUUUAUUAGGCGUAAAGAGUAUGUAGGUGGUAUAUUAUGAAAAUUAUAAAAUAAUAGAACUCAAUUCUAUAAAGUAAUUUUUACUAAUAAACUAGAGUAUAAAAGAGGAGAGUAGAAUUUUACAUGUAGUAGUGAAAUGCAUAAAUAUGUAAAAGAAUACCAAAAGCGAAGGCAACUCUCUGGGUUAAUACUGACACUGAGAUACUAAAGCGUGGGGAGCAAACAGGAUUAGAUACCCUGGUAGUCCACGCCCUAAACGAUGUCAACUAGUUGUUAGUUUUAGUGACGAAGCUAACGCGUUAAGUUGACCGCCUGGGGAUUACGAUCGCAAGAUUAAAACUCAAAGGAAUUGACGGGGACCCGCACAAGUGGUGGAUGAUGUGGAUUAAUUCGAUGCAACACGAAAAACCUUACCCACUCUUGACAUGUAUAGAAUUCAUCUGAAAAGAUGAAGUGCCUAUAACACAGGUGCUGCAUGGCUGUCGUCAGCUCGUGUCGUGAGAUGUUGGGUUAAGUCCCAUAACGAGCGCAACCCUUGUCUAAUGUUGCGAAGCACUCAUAAGAUACAGUUGAUUUCUAAAUCAAAGGAAGGAAAGGAUGACGUCAAGUCCUCAUGGCCCUAAUGAGUGGGGCUUCACACGUCAUACAAUGGUUGAUACAAAAAGUAGCAAAUUUGUAAAAAGGAGCAAAUCUUUAAAAUCAAUCCCAGUUCGGAUUGUACUCUGCAACUCGAGUACAUGAAGUAGGAAUCACUAGUAAUCGCAGAUCAGAAUGCUGCGGUGAA